UUCAUAUAUAGCGAACAAGCAGUCUGCUUUGUACUGUGGUGUAAGCAUGUGUGAUUUUAUAUAGUAGUUUUCAUGAUGGAGAGCUGUUUUCGAACACUUCGGCCAAAUUCUGUUUAAAUCAUUGAACCAAAGGAAAAGAUGGGGAGAUAUAUCAGCGGCGCGAGAACCUGCAGAAGUACCUCUAAUUAUAUUCCAAUACAUUAUAAGAUUUCGUCUAUUGAAGAAAUCAACGAUUCACAAUUUAUUACAACAUAAUGCAAGCAUGUGAAUUAUAGAAUUAACAGAAGAGAUAAUUCCAUUUUUCUUAUUAUAUUUUCAUUAUGUGAAAAUAUAAUAAUUUUUAUCUUUACUGUCAUUAAUACCCCAUCGUUUUUGAUUCCGAUUCUGAAGAAUGGAAAGUAGGGACAACCAGAACGACUAUCAAAAGUAAUAUUAAUGAAGCAACAAUAAUGUACAUUUAGAUUUGAUCAUGGGAUAUGUAAUUGUACAAAUUCGACUAUUUACGCAUUCAAGAAAAUAAGAAAAUCUCAUGCGGACAAAUACGAUAAUAUUCACAAUAUUACAAUUCAAAUAAAGAUUGUUUUCAAAUAUAAUCUAACAAAAUACAUAUAUUCAGAAAAUUGCAUAUGAUAUAUAAUAUUAUAUUUGAAAGUAUCAUGUUUGUAUAUCAGUUUCCUAUAUAAGCAUGAUUUCGUUAAUUUGCUGUUUCAGAAUAAUUAAAAAUAAAAUUCAUAUUUCCAUUUUCUGUUGAAUUCCGCUACCCCUUCUGUUACAAAUCUGGAGAAUAUAUCUAUUGUAAAUUCA